CAUAAAGGAAGACUGGUGAAUAUUGCUUCUUUGUAUGUAUUUACAAGCCAUGGCAGAGCAUUUCACCUCUGGCUUUGGAAACUCAAAAACCAAAAGUAGAUGGCAGUCCCUGUGUUACCUAACUAUGGAUACUCCAAACCCUAGAUCCUUAGAAUACCAUCAUGGCAAGCAUUAGUUACAACUCAUCAAUGCAAUCAUGUUCAAAAUAUUUCCUUACCUAAAGUAGCAAAUGUCCAAACUCAUAAGGUUUAUUCAUGAUUUAAAAUUAGUAGGUCUAGAGCGUAGUUACCAGGCUAAGAAACAAAUGUGGGAAGGACUUGAGAACAUCUCAUCUUACAAUUUUUU